rnacentral:lncRNA from 1 species
UGUAUUCAUAUAUCAAAACAUUAUAUUCCAUAAGCAUGUAUAAUUCCUAUUUGUCAAUUAUAUAUCAGUAGACCUUUUAUGAAAGCAGCAGAGCAUAGAUUUACUGAAAGGGAAAGAGAUGUAACACUACAAUAAAACAGAAUGUAGUGUGCUGAGAUAUAUCAGGAAAAAAUAAAACCAUACUAUUGCUGCUAAAAAUAUGACUACCCAUCAAUACAAUCUACCACUUCUUUGUAGUUCUUUUUGCUUAUAAGAUCUAUUCCAAAGAUUCACAGUUCUGUUAUUGUGAUUCCACUUUACUUAAGUUGUCCAUUUCUCUUUGCAGUUAUGUCAUGAACUUUAUGAAGAUUAAACUCAUUUGGAGGUUAUUUUUUUCAGUUUAGGAAUGGCUUUUUUCCCCCCUCUAUCUGGCCUUUCUGGUAUACACUUUAACUAAUGUCAUUUUUCAAUGAUUUUGGCAUUUCUUACUGUCAGUAUUCUAACACUGCUAAUUUAUUUUUCCUGUUGAGUUGGUUUGGCUGCUAUAUCCAGGAUAAUAUGAAAUGAUGGUGAUGAGAGCUAAAAGUAUCUUAAUUUGCAUUUUAUUGUUUUUUGUUAAAAUGAAGAGUGGUACGGUAUUUUAAAGUGCCUUCUUAGAAGUUAGGUACAUGACGACCCAACUUUAUCUUUGUACAUAUUAAUGUGGUCAACUACAUUAUGGUAUUUUAUUAUAGUAAAUUAUCUCAGAGUUUGUUAACUAUGCUAGUAAAUUUAUUAUAUGAUUUUCUUGUAUUAAUGGAUUCUUGUGAUUUCUUAAAUGACUUCUAUAUUAAUUUUAUUAGUUAAAAUAGUAGAGAUUUAUAUCUGUG